AAUAGAUACCCGGGUAGUCCACGCCGUAAACCGAUGAGUGCUAAGUGUUAGAGAGUUUCCGCCCUUUAGUGCUGCAGCUAACGCAUUAAGCACUCCGCCUGGGGAGUACGGCCGCAAGGCUGAAACUCAAAGGAAGUUGACGGGGGCCCGCACAAGCGGUGGAGCAUGUGGUUUAAUUCGAAGCAACGCGAAGAACCUUACCAGGUCUUGACAUCCUCUGACAACCCUAGAGAUAGGGCUUUCCCCGUUCGGGGGACAGAGUGACAGGUGGUGCAUGGUUGUCGUCAGCUCGUGUCGUGAGAUGUUGGGUUAAGUCCCGCAACGAGCGCAACCCUUGAUCUUAGUUGCCAGCAUUCAGUUGGGCACUCUAAGGUGACUGCCGGUGACAAACCGGAGGAAGGUGGGGAUGACGUCAAAUCAUCAUGCCCCUUAUGACCUGGGCUACACACGUGCUACAAUGGAUGGUACAAAGGGCUGCAAACCUGCGAAGGUAAGCGAAUCCCAUAAAGCCAUUCUCAGUUCGGAUUGCAGG
rnacentral:rRNA from 1 species